AUGCUGAAGAUACUUCAAGUUCUUAGUAAGAGUGGGAACAUUCCUGUGGCCUUGCAAAAGACAGCCAAACUCAAGGUGAUUCAUAGUGAAGCUCUCCUUUGUGGGGAUCCUGAAUUAAUCAAAAUAUUUAUGGAGAAAAUAACACAGGUAUCCAACAUCUCAAAAGACAAAAGAGUUUUUUGUUCAAACUUUUUCCAUGGUGUAAUAAGUUUUCACAUUGUGUUUUUUGUUGUUGUUUUAAUGUGGAAAAUUUAAGUAGGUAAGUCAGUUACUAAUUAGUUAUUAAAAAGAAUAGUUGGCAUUGGCAAUGUUAGUAAUUUGGGAAGUUUGCAUCUUUAUGCUGUGUUCUGCUGUAUCUGAUACUAACUGAGAGCUAUUUCCCUUUGCACUAAGAGCAGUGUGUGGCCUAUCUCUUUGCUGUCCCUCUUUCACACCCAGCUGGGGCAUGGCCUACAUCUUUGUCCUGAUAAAGAUUAGUUUAUAAAAAUAGCAGAAAAAGACAAGAAGAGAAGGCAAAAAAAAAGUUGCUGUAACUGCUUAUCUUUUGCUUAUACAGAUACAAAGAACAAGAGGAAUUAUUUAGUAUGGUCUGCUGAGCCAGUACAACAGGAUAAAAAAUGUAAAACAAAAUUAAGAUAUGAAUAUGUGAAAGGAACUGCAUGACAAGGAUAAAGGGAAAGAAAAUUGACUUUGAAAUCCUAUACUAAUGUUCUAAUUUUAUGAUGAAUUAAUACCCAGCAACAAGAGAAAUACAGUCUGUUAUGAACUCCAAAAUGAAAACUCACUCCAAAGUUUUGUCUAAAUCCUACUACCAGUUCAUUGACCUUCCCACUCACUACAAAACACAUUUUCAUUUCUACUUCUUAUCUUUUUAAAAAAUCAUGACUUUUCCAAAAGAAAUGGAAUUUGUGGCCUCAGAUAACAGAGAAUAACAUUCUUGAAGUUCUUGAUGGAAAAUUUAAAUGAGUUUACAAAGAGUAAUAUUAUAAAGGUCAUUGAAACCUAUUUUAUGCUGAAUUUCCCAUUCAGUUUGCCCACAGGGAUUAUGAAACACUCAUCCUGAAAAAGUUCCCUUUCCAAUUUUCUUUUUUAGUUCACAUUUGAGCUUACUUUGAAGAAGACAUGAUUUUUUUUAUAGAUAAAUAGAGUGCCAAAGCAGUGGAAAAAAGUGAAGUAGUUCUUAUUGUUUUCUGAACAUGCCUUAAAAAUUAAAGAUAUUUUUAGGAAGGUCAGAAUGCCUUUGAUGUAUUAGGUACUCUGCUGUUGAGAAGCAGCAUUAGAUUCACUGAAGGCCUGUAUGGAUAAGUCAUGGAUAAGGCAGGAAAGGGAAAGUAUAAGGAAAACUGCUUGGAUAUUGUUAGCAUGUUUCUUCAGAAAGUUGUGUAAUAAUCUGAAUUUUAUUGGUGACCAUGGCCUUAUUUGAACCUUAUUGAUACACUUUGAGGGAGGUUGUGAGUGUAAAGCAUCUUGGACAGUUGGUGUGGUAUUUUUUCCUGGUUCUGUUGAUAGUCCUGCACUUGAAGUGUGUGUCUGUUAGCUGGUGAAAAGAAUGGUCUUCUAUCAUUAGGCAAUAGAAUUGAGCAAGAGAUGACAUCUUGUCCUCUGAUGGAGAAACGAGAUGCUUCUUGGAAAUGCACCAGAAAGUCAAGAAUUUUGAUCAAACAUGAAAACAAAAGGGCUAAAAGGGCUAAAGAACAGCUUCUUUACAGGAGUUUCGGGAUUAUUCACUUUUUUUUUUUUUUUUUUUUUUUCUUUUUUUUACUAAUAUAUUGAGGAGAGAGAUUUUAGAUGAUCAUUUAGAUGAGGAGACUGAUUUUAGAUGGUGCAAAUGGCUUUUUGAGGGGCUUAUCUCCUGCUUUCUUAUAGCAGUGAUAAGUGACCACUAUCAGAGACAGGAUACAGAAGUUUGCAAGUUCCUGUGUAUUUGUUGGUUGUGUUUACAUAAAGUAUACUUUCCCUCUUCAUUGCUUUUAGUUUUAAUGGAGAAAACAAAUCCAAAAAGGCUAAAUAAAAAGCCUGUGUGCCAAAGGAGUACUUCA
rnacentral:lncRNA from 1 species